UACUCUCUUCUUGACUGUCUUUGAUGCUGU
rnacentral:piRNA from 2 species